rnacentral:rRNA from 1 species
UACGUAGGGUCCGAGCGUUGUCCGGAAUUACUGGGCGUAAAGAGCUCGUAGGUGGUUUGUCGCGUUGUUCGUGAAAACUCACAGCUCAACUGGGGAGGGUCGUGCGAUACGGUCGGCUUGAGGCCAGUAGGGGGAUGCGGAAUUCCGGGUGUAGUGGUGGAAUGCGUAGAGAUCGGGAGGAACACCAGUGGCGAAGGCGGCUCGCUGGGCCGGCCCUGACGCUGGAGACGCGAAGGCGUGGGGAGCGAACGGG